ACUGUAAAGCAUUAAGUACCUGUACCGUAAACCGACACAGGUGGGUUGGUAGAGUAUACCAAGGGGCGCGAGAUAACUCUCUCUAAGGAACUCGGCAAAAUGACCCCGUAACUUCGGGAGAAGGGGUGCCAAGUAACUUAAAUUGCUUGGUCGCAGUGACCAGGCCCUGGCGACUGUUUAUCAAAAACACAGGUCUCCGCAAAGUCGUAAGACAACAUAUGGGGGCUGACGCCCGCCCAGUGCCGGAAGGUUAAAGAAGUUGGUUAUUCAUUUUUGGAGAAGCUGACGACUGAAGCCCCGGUGAACGGCGGCCGUAACUAUAACGGUCCUAAGGUAGCGAAAUUCCUUGUCGGGUAAGUUCCGACCCGCACGAAAGGCGUAACGAUCAGGGCACUGUCUCGGAGAGAGACUCGGUGAAAUAGACAUGUCUGUGAAGAUGCGGACUACCUGCACCUGGACAGAAAGACCCUAUGAAGCUUGACUGUAGCUUGGAAUUGGGUUCGGGCUCUUCUUGCGCAGCCUAGGUGGGAGGCGUUGAAAGCUUUCUUUUGGGAAAGCUGGAGCCAUCAGUGAGAGACCACUCUGGAGGAGCUAGAAUUCUAAUGGCGUUCCUUGAAGCAGGACGCUUGACAGUUUCAGGUGGGCAGUUUGACUGGGGCGGUCACCUCCUAAAAGGUAACGGAGGUGUGCAAAGGUUCCCUCAGGCUGGACGGAAAUCAGCCGUAGAGUGUAAAGGCAGAAGGGAGCUUGACUGCAAGACCUACAAGUCGAGCAGGGGCGAAAGCCGGCCUUAGUGAUCCGACGGUUCCAUGUGGAAGGGCCGUCGCUCAACGGAUAAAAGUUACUCUAAGGAUAACAGGCUGAUCUUCCCCAAGAGUUCACAUCGACGGGAAGGUUUGGCACCUCGAUGUCGGCUCAUCGCAACCUGGGGCGGUAGUACGUCCCAAGGGUUGGGCUGUUCGCCCAUGAAAGCGGUACGUGAGCUGGGUUCAGAACGUCGUGAGACAGUUCGGUCCAUAUCCGGUGUAGGCGCUAGAGCAUUGAGAGGAGCCUUCCAUAGUACGAGAGGACCUGGAAGGACGCACCUCUGGUAUACCAGUUAUCAUGCCAAUGGUACACGCUGGGUAGCCAUGUGCGGAGUGGAUAACCGCUGAAAGCAUCUAAGUGGGAAGCCCACCUCAAGAUGAGUGCUCUCCAUUAGGUCACAGGAAGACAACCUGUUUGAUAGGCAGAAGGUGUAAGGCCAGUAAUGGUUUCAGCUGAUCUGUAC
rnacentral:rRNA from 1 species